AGCAGCCGCGGUAAUUCCAGCUCCAAUAGCGUAUAUUAAAGUUGUUGCAGUUAAAAAGCUCGUAGUUGAAUUUCGGGACCAAUAUGACUGUCGUGCCUUCGGUACGUACGGGCAUAAUUGGUUCCUACCUUCUGAUGAACCUUGAUGUCAUUAAUUUGGUGUCUUGGGGACUCAGGACUGUUACCUUGAAAAAAUUAGAGCGUUUAAAGCAGGCUCACGCUUGAAUACAUUAGCAUGGAAUAAUGAAAUAGGACGUUUGAUUCUAUUUUGUUGGUUUCUAGGAUCGACGUAAUGAUUAAUAGGGAUAGUUGGGGGCAUUAGUAUUCAAUUGUCAGAGGUGAAAUUCUUGGAUUUAUUGAAGACUAACUACUGCGAAAGCAUUUGCCAAGGAUGUUUUCAUUAAUCAAGAACGAAAGUUAGGGGAUCGAAGACGAUCAGAUACCGUCGUAGUCUUAACCAUAAACUAUGCCGACUAGGGAUCGGAUGAUGUUAAUUUUUAAUGACUCAUUCGGCGCCUUAA
rnacentral:rRNA from 1 species